CUUCACUGUGCUCCUUUCAUGGCCUGCACUCCAGUGACAGUGGUAGUAACAGAGAUACAGUCAGGUAACAUGACACUGUGUGAUUAGCAGUCUCACACUCUCCCUGCACCACUAAGUGUGUUAUUCCCUCAAU